ensembl:misc_RNA 7SK 7SK RNA
GUAUGUGAGGGUGAUCUGGCUGCAACAUCUGUCAUUACACUGAUCGCCAGGGUUGGUUCAGCUGAUCUGGCUGGCUAGGCGGGUGUCCCCUUCCUCCCUUACUGUUCCAUGUGCAUCCCUCCAGAAGCUGCACACUUGGUUGAAGAGGACAGCCUUCCCCAAAUAGAGAAGGACCGGGCUUCUGUCGAGGGUGAGGGUGUAGGAGUAGCUGCGCUCCCCUGCUAGAGCCUCCAAACAAGCUCUCAAAAGCGCUCAUUCUGUGUGCUCUCAUUCACAUGUGGAAUCUGUCAAACUUGGCCAGAGUUGAAUUAU